ACCUGCUGAAGUUUUUCUACAAUUGAUGAUCCCUCAGUCUGCGCUCGAAGACGUGAAACCUUUCUCCUUGCUACUUCCAAUUCCUCUUCUAUUCUUCUCUUAUCAAACCUCUCUCUCUCUAGUUCUAUCUGCAGUUCCAAAAGGGCUGCUCGACUUCUUCCAACCUUGGAUUGUGAGUCCUCCAGUGACUCUCUUGCUUGAUUAGAUGAUUUUCUCACAUCUACCAAUCGCUUUUGGGUAUUUUCCAAUGUACUUGAGUUUUGAAACUUCUCUUCUUUAAGUUUAUGAACCUGGUCAAAACAAAUU
rnacentral:misc_RNA from 1 species